UACGUAGGGUGCGAGCGUUAAUCGGAAUUACUGGGCGUAAAGCGUGCGCAGGCGGUGAUGUAAGACCGAUGUGAAAUCCCCGGGCUUAACCUGGGAACUGCAUUGGUGACUGCAUCGCUCGAGUAUGGCAGAGGGGGGUAGAAUUCCACGUGUAGCAGUGAAAUGCGUAGAUAUGUGGAGGAACACCGAUGGCGAAGGCAGCCCCCUGGGUCAAGAUUGACGCUCAUGCACGAAAGCGUGGGGGAGCAAACAGG
rnacentral:rRNA from 1 species